rnacentral:piRNA from 3 species
CAAGAUUCCCAUUCUUGCGACCCGGGU